AGAAAGGGGGCAAGAGAGGGAGCCCGAG
rnacentral:sRNA from 1 species